rnacentral:rRNA from 1 species
UUAAUUUUGGUUCAGAUUGAACGUUUUUCAGUAGUUUAAGACAUGCGAAUCGUUGUUUUCGACAUAUUACUUCUGUAAUAUUAGAAAAUAAGGUGUAGAGGUGAGUAUGUUAAAUAAGAUACCCUAUAGUCUUCAGAAAUAGGAGAUAAUGAAAGGAGAUACUUCUGCUAUAGGAUUCUAUUUAAUUUGAUUAGGUAGUUGGUAGGGUAAAGGCCUACCAAGCCAACGAUCGAAAGUCAUGUUUGAAAGAACCUCUGGCCACAUUGGGAAUGAAAUCUCCCAAGUAGUUUUACACUACCAGCAGUCAAGAAUAUUAGUCAAUGCUCGCAAGAGUGAACUAGCUAACUGAAAUCAUAGAGUUUAUUUAAACUCAUGAUGUCGUAAGGGAAAAUAAUGAUAAUACCUUACUAAUAGUGUCGUCCAAAUCUGGUGCCAGAAGACUCGGUAAGACCAGAGACGCAAACGUUAAUCAUCUUAAACAGGCGUAAAGGGUUUGUAGGCAGCUUUCAGAAGUACUAUAAUUAAGCAAAUAAAGUAGUCUAAUUGGAAGCUAGAAUCAAAUGGAGGUUAUAGUGUAUAACGCUUAGAGGAGGGCUGAUAUCCUUAGAUCCUAAGCAGAAUACUCAGGGCGAAGGCCACUUUCCACUAAUGAUUGACGCUGAGAAACGAAGGUUAGGGUAGGAAAUAGGAUUAGAUACCCCGGUACCCCUUUCUGUAAACGAUGAAUGGUAGUCAUUAGUUUAGAAAAACUAGAGGCGAAGUUAACGCGAUAACCAUUCCGCCUUGUGAGUACUACUGCAAAGUAGAAAACAAAAAAAUUAGUCGGUCUCGAAGCAAACGGAGUGAAGCAUGUUGUUUAAUACGAUAAUCCGCGUAAAACCUUACCAGAACUUGCAUACAAACUUUUCUUUCCAAAAGAAAGGAAAGGAGUAUUUUGCCCCUCAAAGUACUUAAGUACAGGUGUUGCAUGGCUGUCUUCAGUUCGUGUUGUUAAACAUUAGGUUAAUUCCACUAACGAACGAAAUCCCUGUUAUUAAUUAAUUCUUAAUAACUAAUGAAUCUGAUAGAGAUUCAGUCGGGGCUAAGACAAGUCGUUAUGGCCCUCAUGUUCUGGGCUAUAGACGUGCCACAAACACUUUCACAAAGUGAUGCAAUACUUCCGAAAAGAAGUGGAGCUAAUCAUUAAAAAAAGUGAUCUAUAUGAAUCUUUGACGGAUUGUCUCCUGAAAUUCGGAGGCAUGAAGCAGGAAUUCCGAGUAAUCGUUGAUAAGUAGCGCAACGGUGAAGCUAGUUUCGUGAUGAACUAACUGUCUGUCGCUGGGAAGAAGCCUUUAGUGGAGGAAACUGGGGGUAGAUAAGUUUUUUUCAUAGUUUAGUUUACGAUUAAAAUUAUAUUAGUCUCUAAAACAACUAUGUUAAGCUUAUUGGCUUUAGUUAAUUCAUUGGGGUAACAUCUCAAAAGUCAUAGCA